rnacentral:rRNA from 1 species
CCCGCACAAGCGGAGGAACAUGUGGUUUAAUUCGAUGAUACGCGAGGAACCUUACCCGGGCUUGAAAGUUAGUGACGGCGGAUGAAAGUCUGCUUCCCUUCGGGGCACGAAACUAGGUGCUGCAUGGUUGUCGUCAGCUCGUGCCGUGAGGUGUCGGCUUAAGUGCCAUAACGAGCGCAACCCUUGCCGUUAGUUGCCAUCGGGUAAUGCCGGGAACUCUAGCGGGACUGCUACUGUAAGGUAGAGGAAGGUGGGGAUGACGUCAAAUCAGCACGGCCCUUACGUCCGGGGCGACACACGUGUUACAAUGGUAGGUACAGAGGGUUGCUACCCCGCGAGGGGAUGCUAAUCUCCUAAAACCUAUCUCAGUUCGGAUCGGAGUCUGCAACUCGACUUCGUGAAGCUGGAUUCGCUAGUAAUCGCGCAUCUGCCAUGGCGCGGUGAAUACGUUCCCGGGCCUUGUACACACCGCCCGUCAAGCCAUGGAAGCUGGGGGUACCUAAAGUCUGCAACCGCAAGGAGCGGCCUAGGGUAAAACUGGUAACUGGGGCUAAGUCGUAACAAGGUAACCGU